rnacentral:rRNA from 1 species
GAACGCUGGCGGCAUGGCUAAGACAUGCAAGUCGAACGGGCUAUACUAACGGGUAACUGUGCGUAUAGCUAGUGGCGAAAGGGUGAGGAACAGAUAGGUAACGUACCCCGCACUUCGGAAUAGCGCCCUGAAAGGGGCAUUAAUACCGGAUGAUGUCAUGAACUUAAUUGUUUAUGAUCAAAGAUUUAUCGGUGUGGGAGCGGNCUACCUCCUAUCAGCUUGUUGGUGAGGUAACGGCUCACCAAGGCUGCGACGGGUAGCGGGACUGAGAGGUUGACCCGCCACAUCGGGACUGAGACACUGCCCGGACCUCCACGGAGGGCUGCAGUAACGAAUAUUGGGCAAUGGGCGAAAGCCUGACCCAGCAAUGCCGCGUGCAGGAUGAAGCCCCUCGGGGUGUAAACUGCUGUCAGGUGGAAAAAAGCCGGUUUCGGCCGGUUGAUUGAUACCAAAGGAAGCCACGGCUAACUUCGUGCCAGCAGCCGCGGUAAGACGAAGGUGGCGAGCGUUGUUCGGAAUCACUGGGCUUAAAGCGCGCGUAGGCGGAAUAUCAAGCGUUUUGUGAAAUCCCCCGGCUUAACCGGGGAAUUGCUUGACGAACUGAUAUUCUUGAGGCAAGUAGGGGUGUGUGGAACUCUUGGUGGAGCGGUGGAAUGCGUAGAUAUCAAGAGGAACGCCGGAGGUGAAGACGGCACACUGGGCUUGUCCUGACGCUGAGGUGCGAAAGCGUGGGUAGCGAACGGGAUUAGAUACCCCGGUAGUCCACGCCGUAAACGAUGUCUACUAGGUUGCGGAAGUUUCUGACACUGUCGCGGACCGAAGCAAAAGUGAUAAGUAGACCGCCUGGGGAGUACGGUCGCAAGAUUAAAACUCAAAGGAAUUGACGGGGGCUCACACAAGCGGUGGAGCAUGUGGAUUAAUUCGAAGCAACGCGCAGAACCUUACCUGGGUUUGACAUGCUUGGAUGCCUUCCUGGAAACAGGAUUUGGCUGCCUUCGGGUGAAACUUGCACAGGUGCUGCAUGGCUGUCGUCAGCUCGUGUCGUGAGAUGUCGGGUUAAGUCCUUUAACGAGCGAAACCCUUGUCGCUAGUUGCCAGCGAGUCAAGUCGGGGACUCUAGCGAGACUGCCGGUG